GAUGAACGCUAGCGGGAGGCCUAACACAUGCAAGCCGAGCGGUAUUGUUUCUUCGGAAAUGAGAGAGCGGCGUACGGGUGCGUAACAUGUGUGCAACCUGCCUUUAUCUGGGGGAUAGCCUUUCGAAAGGAAGAUUAAUACUCCACAAUAUAUUGAACGGCAUCGUUUAAUAUUGAAAGCUCCGGCGGAUAGAGAUGGGCACGCGCAAGAUUAGCUAGUUGGUGAGGUAACGGCUCACCAAGGCGAUGAUCUUUAGGGGGCCUGAGAGGGUGAUCCCCCACACUGGUACUGAGACACGGACCAGACUCCUACGGGAGGCAGCAGUGAGGAAUAUUGGUCAAUGGGUGCAAGCCUGAACCAGCCAUCCCGCGUGAAGGACGACUGCCCUAUGGGUUGCAAACUUCUUUUGUAUAGGGAUAAACCUACCCUCGUGAGGGUAGCUGAAGGUACUAUACGAAUAAGCACCGGCUAACUCCGUGCCAGCCGCCGCGGUAACAC
rnacentral:rRNA from 1 species